rnacentral:rRNA from 1 species
GUCCACGCCCUAAACGAUGCCAACUAGGUGUUGGGGAAGGAGACUUCCUUAGUACCGUAGCUAACGCGUGAAGUUGGCCGCCUGGGGAGUACUGUCGCAAGAUUAAAACUCAAAGGAAUUGACGGGGACCCGCACAAGCGGUUGAUGAUGUGGAUUAAUUCGAUGCAACGCGAAAACCUUACCUACCCUUGACAUGCCAGGAACUUUCCAGAGAUGGAUUGGUGCUCGAAAGAGAGCCUGGACACAGGUGCUGCAUGGCUGUCGU